rnacentral:rRNA from 1 species
UACGUAGGUGGCAAGCGUUGUCCGGAUUUAUUGGGCGUAAAGCGCGCGCAGGCGGUCCUUUAAGUCUGAUGUGAAAUCUUGCGGCUCAACCGCAAGCGGUCAUUGGAAACUGGGGGACUUGAGUGCAGAAGAGGAAAGCGGAAUUCCACGUGUAGCGGUGAAAUGCGUAGAGAUGUGGAGGAACACCAGUGGCGAAGGCGGCUUUCUGGUCUGUAACUGACGCUGAGGCGCGAAAGCGUGGGGAGCAAACAGGAUUAGAUACCCUGGUAGUCCACGCCGUAAACGAUGAGUGCUAAGUGUUGGAGGGUUUCCGCCCUUCAGUGCUGCAGCUAACGCAUUAAGCACUCCGCCUGGGGAGUACGGUCGCAAGACUG